UACGUAGGGUGCGAGCGUUGUCCGGAAUUAUUGGGCGUAAAGAGCUUGUAGGUGGCUCGUUGCGUCGGGAGUGAAAACCUGCGGCUUAACCGCAGGCCUGCUUCCGAUACGGGCGAGCUAGAGUUCGGCAGGGGAGACUGGAAUUCCUGGUGUAGCGGUGGAAUGCGCAGAUAUCAGGAGGAACACCGGUGGCGAAGGCGGGUCUCUGGGCAUUAACUGACGCUGAGGAGCGAAAGCAUGGGGAGCGAACAGG
rnacentral:rRNA from 1 species